rnacentral:sRNA from 1 species
UCAUGGCAGCUUUGAGGAGUUCUGUCUCUUUUGUUCCAAACAAAGAAGUGGUUUUUUUUUCCUACUCUAAUGGUUGGCAGUCAAGUGAUACUUCAGGUUUGUCAUUUAGUCGUUGGAUGAAACAGUGAUCGCCAGUGAUACUUCAGGUUUGUCAUUUAGUCGUUGGAUGAAACAGUGAUGGCCUCUGGAGUGUAAACAAUCUGUACUUUAAAUCUAGCCAUUUCAGAUCUUUGAAAGUUUCGCUUUUUUAUUAAUUUUUUCAGCUAAUAUACAAAAUAACUUUAAAAAACCUAUUAUUUAUGUGUGUCGCGUGUGUGUGGGUGCCCCUGUAGGUCAGAAGAUGGGAUUGGAUCCCCUGGAGCUGUAGUUAUAGGUGGUUGUGAGCCUCCCCAGUGCGGAUGACCUCGGAGUGCUCAUAACCACUGAGCCAUUUUCCAGUGCCCUCAUUCUGGCACCGUCCUAACAAGCAUGCAUCUGUCCUUUUCAGUCCCCGUCACGGGCUCCCUUCCUCUCCAAAUGGAGUCCCUUCUGUUUCAUGUCACAUGUUUAAACCUAGACUUUUGCAUGUAACAGAAAACAUGCAGUGUUUUGUCUUUUUUAAAAUUACCCUUUAUUGCUGCCCUCUUCCUUGAGGCCUUCCCUGUGCGUAUUCCCUUCUGCAAAGUCAGAAGUUUUAAAACUUAAAGAGUAUGUUUUAAUGUAGAAACAAAAUUCAAGCCAGCUGCCCCAAACCUAUCAUACACACUUUCAUAUGUGUUACGGUAUGCUGACUUGACACGGCUGAAA